AAGAUUUGGGGGUUUGGGAGGGGGGGGCGCGCACGGCGCUGGGUGGUGGAUUGAGAUGACUUAGGAUAUUUUACAUAUAAGAAGAAAAUUUAGUUAGAGCCUAGAGGAUACUUUAUUGGGAAUAUACAAAUGUGGAAUUCCCACAUCGGAAAAAAAUGGGAUAAGUAAGAGACAUAUAAGUGGGAAAGACCCAUAAACCCAUUGCCUUAAGGUUUUAAGUUGAAUGUGGUGUCAA
rnacentral:misc_RNA from 1 species